AAGCAAAAACCAAGAAAUGCUUCAUUCCACAAACAAAGAAGUGAUACUUGGCAUCGUGGUGGGAACUACAGGAAUCAGCUUGCUUCUUUUGUGGUACCACAAGGUUCGUAAACCAAGGACAGUGAUGGAUUUACCUGGAUUUCUUUCUCUGAGUAAUGCCUUUGAUUUGAUGACUUUGCAAGAUGAAAUGCAUAAUGAUCAAGAAACAACAGCAACCUUUCAAGGAAGGCAACUUCAGAUACUGGAGAAGUUAAAUGAAUUACUGACAAAUAUGGAAGAACUCAAAGAGGAAAUUAGAGUUCUUAAAGAAGCCAUUCCAAAGCUGGAGGAAUAUAUACAAGGUGAACUUGGAGGGAAGAUAACUGUUCAUAAGAUAAGUCCUCAGCACAGAGCUAGAAAAAGAAGACUUACCACAGUUCAAAGUUCAGCAACAAGUAAUAGUUCAGAGGAAGCAGAAAGUGAAGGAGGGUAUGUUACAGCUAAUACUGAUACUGAAGAACAGAGUUUUCCCGUCCCUAAGGCAUUUAACACUCAUGUAGAGGAAUUAAAUUUAGAUGCCCUUAUUCAGAUGGCUGAUAAUUUACGAAUGAAUGAGUCCACCAAAAUGGAGAGUUUUGAACUACUUUGUGACCACAAAGAAAAGUUUAGAGAUGAAAUAGAGUUUAUUUGGCGGUUUGCUCGUGCUUAUGGAGACAUGUAUGAGCUAUCUACAAAUGCACAGGAAAAGAAGCAUUAUGCUAAUAUUGGAAAGACAUUAGGAGAAAAAGCUAUUACUAGAGCACCCAUGAAUGGAUAUUGUCAUCUGUGGUAUGCAGUUUUGUGUGGCUAUGUAUCUGAGUUUGAGGGCUUACAAAACAAAAUCAACUAUGGAUAUCGCUUCAAGGAACAUCUAGACAAAGCAAUUGAAUUUUUACCUGAAGAACCCUUUUUAUAUUACCUCAAGGGAAGAUACUGUUACACUGUCUCCAAACUGAGCUGGAUUGAGAAAAAAAUGGCUGCUACUCUGUUUGGGAAAAUACCAUCCUCAACUGUACAAGAAGCUUUGCAAAAUUUUCUUAAGGUCGAAGAACUGCACCCUGGUUUUUCUAAGUCCAAUUACAUGUUCUUGGCCAAGUGUUGUAUCGAUCUGGACCAAACAGAUGAUGCUGUGAAGUUCUGUAAUUUGGCAGUGUUGCUUCCUUGUGUUACCAAAGAGAAUCAUCUACUCAGGAAGACCUCUGGCAGUGGUUCUCAUGGGAAGUUCCACUGUGCAGAAGCCGUGGAUCUUUAUGAGCCCUGGUGCCUUCCCACCCUUUGACUGAUCUGCCCACAGAAAUUUAGGCUUCUUGGGAAAGGUGGCAUGAGAGAGAAAAAAGCCCUGGAUUGAGACUCGGAUUCAAACCCAGACUGGCCCUUGCUACGUGCAUGAACUCAGGCAAGUGCCUUACAUUUCCUGAGCCUUAGUUACCUGGUCUGUAAAAUGGUAAUAAAAAUGCAGAGUUUUGCUAGGAAGAUUAAAUAAAUGUGUGUAAAAUAACAAGCACAUAGAAAUGGAGAUGAUUUCUCAGCUUCCCUCCUAGAGGGACAGAGAAUCUUCAGCUCUUUGCAGCCUCCCUAGACAUUUCCAUAUUGCUUUUUAUCCCACAUCCUUGCAAUGCCACUAAGGUUGCCCACACAUGAGCAACGAUUCCCCUGGAUUCUGGUUGUUGAAUGACCAUCUACGGAAACAGGCUCCACCAGGAGCUCACUGCCCAGAAUUCCAGAAGAAGUGCAGGACAACAUCCAAAGAACUUUUUGCAACUCCCGAGAGAGGAGCUGGCUUUCAUUCUGUCACACAUUGUAUUGUCCCAGUGCUGUUCUGCACGCACACCAGGUGGUGAACCUGUGCUGGGUUUCUUGGCUUUACCUGGGUCUCAAAAUGUAGCCCCAAACCCUGGUGAGACUUUCCUGAAUGCAUAUUAUCUAAUGAUGUUUUCUGUUUCCCACUGAGUGUAGAGGGCUUGGGAGAAACUCAAGGAAGGAAUCCCACAAACUGCUCAUGUUAGAUACUGUGAGAAAUGCUUUACACCCCUUGGCUUCUUUAAUCCUCCCUCAAGGUGAUUAUGCCCAUUUUACAGGUGAUGAAACACAAGGUCCCUGAGGUUAAAUGACACACAAUGUGACAGCGCUAGUGACCCCCGCCCCGAGCUGAGAGGAGGAGAAAGAGAAUAAGAAUUUUAAGAGAAGAUUUAAAAAUGUAAUACUUUCAGGUGUUUUUAAGCUUGCAGAAUCUUCUGGAACCUAGCAGUUGAUUUUACUUGGCAAGCCUGAUGGUCCAGGACUCUCUCUGCCUGCCUGCCUUCUUCCCAUCUCUACUUUUCCCUUUUUCCCUUUCUUCCCCCAGUUGGAGCAUAAAAAGGCACUUACUGGCUCCAUGUUAGCAGCAGGAUCCCCAAGCCCAAGAGGGCAAGGAGCAUUGGGCCAGGCAGGGCAGCUGCUAAUCUGAAUCUUUCUUUGUACAAGCUCUUUGUCCUGCUUUUCCUUGGAGUGAUUUACACAAUCAAAUAAGCUGAGUUCCUGUUACUGGCUCAGUGGUCUCUGUAUGCAGGGGAAGGAGCCAAGAAGAAAGCUGAUACCCGUGGUGUGUACACUGUUUUCUGGGGACUGUCUCCUGCGUGGUUCAGGGCUGGUAACCACUGUCUGCAUCCCACGCCCGAGAGGCGGUGCCUUUUGCGUAGGAGCCUCAGCGUUUGGGGGCAGGAUCUGCAUCCUCCUGUCAUUCCUCUGAGCUGUGGUAACAGCCAAACAGAAGCCACACGUCUUUGCAUCCACAGCAUCUAGAAUAAAACCGGCCACAUGUCAGGUGCCCUGUAAAAGUCUUCUGGAAUCAGAACGGAAGGUGGGUUGAUUACACUGGGGGCUUCUCCUAAGCCCACGGGGCUGGGACCAACAGGUAUCCUGUGGACAGGAAGGCGCAGAGACACCUUGGUCUUGGCUGAUCUGAUUUUGGAGUCCACACCUGAGGCCGUUUCUUGGUAUCUCCCAUACCAGCCCUGCUCUGAGAGGUUCUGCCCCUCUCAGCACCAGAAGGGCUGGGCCCAUUGUUCCCAUUGAGGUACGCCCCCUGGACACCAAACAGGGCAUGGAGUCCUUUUAUGCUCAGCCUUGACCUGAGUUUCCUAAGUGACAAUGGAAAGAAUUAUAGUUUUUCAGCAACGGUUAAAAGCCAGGUGCUAUUCAGUAAUUGAUAUAUAGCAUUUUAAUCCUGCAAAGGACAAUGUUCAUUUUAGAGUUGCCUUUUAGAAUUUUGGUCAUUUGGGAUUGUCCUCAUUUUACAAAUGAGAAAAACUAUUGCCCAGAGAGGCUAAUUAACUGGCCUAAGCUCACACAGCUAGAGAAUCCCAGAGUCGUGAUUCUAACCCAGAACUGUCUGGUUCUAAAGUCCAUUGAUUGGCCUUGGAGGAGGCUGACAUGCAGUCUCAGGUUUUUCUUGAGUGCCCUGGGCACUGCAUUUUCUCACUUCUUUGUUUCCUUUACUAAGAGGCAAGUCACUCCUAUCUCCAUGCCCUGCUCCUCUGAUAUAUCAAUUUUGCUUUGAUGGAAACAUUCACCCUCCCUUUCACUCCUAUAGUUAACUAGGCGGCCCUCCUUCCACCCAGAGGGUGGUGGUGGUGGAAAUUGGGUUUGGAGACAGAUGAAGAAAGACCCCUCCCUGGUCAGAAAAUCAUCCAGUGUCUAAGGCUGAACCAUGGGUGGUUCCCCAAGGGAUUAGGAAGGACCCAACACGGUCCCUCUCUUGGCCCUAACAUGGUCUCCAUUGUCACCCUCUGCCCAGGGUGCCAAAGACCAGACCUUGAUGUGAGGAUUAAAUGGAACAAAGGAUGUGAAAGUGCCCAGUGCAGCUUCUGACCAGAGAGGCUGCCAUCCAUACCUGGCCCUCCUCCCACUUCCUAGCAUCUCUGUCUCUCUGCUGGACCAAUCCUGCCAUCCACCCCAUGGGCUCCCUUCACUUCACUGCAGAACCACAUUCCAGGCAGGAGGACAAGCAGCAAGAAGCAGCUUGAAGUUGGAGGAAAGGUGAUGGGGGGCAGGAAGAUGGAGAAUGCAAACCCUGAAGCCCGGGAAGAAGGCAAGCUGGGCAGCCAAGUGGAAAUGAAAUUUUUAAGUGAGCUUCAUAUUCUUAAUGAUUCUCCAUCAGCAUUUUCCACUAAUCUGCCUAAGGAUCCUUCUUCCUCAAAGUGCUCUUUCUUUCUGCUGCCAUAGCUGGCAGUUGCUGUUUGUUUUUUGGGUUUUUUUGUCUGUUUUGUUUUGUUUUGUUUUUUUAAUCUGGGAACGUUUUUUACAAAUUGGAAAAAAAAAAAAGAACGAAAACGAAAACAAAAGCAAAAAAACAGUCCUUAAGAAUUAUAGGGUCUCUAAAACCAAGUAGAAAACAUUAACACUACUUUGGAUUCACCCCCAUAGUCUGGCUUUGCUAUCCACAGGAUUCAGAUCUGUGCCUCAGUAAAAUCACUGCAUGGAUGGAUCCUAAGUCAGUAACUCCAUGAUGGCCAAGUAUGAGAAUUUCAAGGCACCAUUGUAGUUCAAGGCAAUGGUUCUUUUUUUUUUUUUUUUUUUUUUUUUUUUUUUUCCCCUAUGGAACAUGGAAGCUCGCUCUGCUUUUUACUGCACCAGGUUUCUGGAAACUGCACUGGAAAACCCAAGAGUGAAAAUUCAGCCUUAUUCUUCUACCUCUUAGUCCAGCCUGUGUUUCCCUACCUUUUUGCUCAAUGUCAAUGCCAAGCGCCAGGCCAGCAGAGUGCCAGCUGGAUCUGAUUGGAGCUGGGGGAACUGCAGAAAUAGAGGCUUAGACUGCAAUGGUGAUGGCUGGGGAAGGCAGGAGGAGACCUACUAAAGGGGGGCAGCUGUGAAAUGUCAAGGGUGGGGAUGAGUACCAGCAGAGGUACUGGAAGGGCCAGCACAGAGCCCACCAGGCCCCACCAGACCCAAGGGAACACUGACUGUUUCUUCAGGUUGUGGGAGGGAGCUCUCAGAACUGGGCUGCCUGAGUCCUGGUGUCUCCAGGCCAAGACAAUAGCCAGAGAUGUGCGGUAAAACAGGGAAGCCGAGCACAGCGAGGAAAGCACCUCUGGAUGGGCAGCACAACACCCAGGGUGUGAGGUCCUGGAAACUGUAAGCCGAGGCUGCUUGCUCUUCUCAGCAACCCACUGAGAUUAGGGUGGAAAUUCUUUUCAAAGAGAUGGAAUAAAAAUUUCAAGGUUCAGUGGUAGAGUCUAUGAAAUAUCCCAGAAGAAGAGCCAGUAACUGUUUCAAAGAAUCAAUCAGGAAUCCUUUGGGAGUCCUUUGGUUCAUGUAAAGUUCAAGAAUCGGCAAUGGCUGGUAAUAAACCUAUAUGGGUUUAUAGUUUCAAAUGAUACAACCAACAAGGGCCUAAUCUCCAAAAUGUACAAACAACUCACACAACUCAACAGUAGAACUAAAUAGACAUUUCUCCAAAGACGACAUACAGAUGGCCAAUAGGUACAUGAAAAAUGCUCAUCAUCCCUAAUUAUUAGAGAAAUGCAAAUCAAAACUACAAUGAGGUGCCACCUCACACCAGUCAAAAUGGCCAUCAUUAAUAGUCCUCAAAUAACAAAUGUUGGAGAGGGUGUAGAGAAAAGGGAACCCUCCUACACUGCUGGUGGGAAUGUAAAUUGGUACAAACACUGUGGAAAACGGUAUGGAAUUUUCUCAGAAAACUAAAUAUAGAACCACCAUAGGAUCUAGCAAUUCCACUCCUGGGCAUAUAUCCAGACAAAACUACAAAUCAAAAAGAUACAUGCACCCUGAGUGGCAGAUUUUAGCAGUCUUGAGCUGCUGUUCAUCACACAGGAUGGUAUUCUACUUUCCUGUUCUGCCCUGAGAAUGUGGUAGGUACCACCCUUCUCCCCAAGCCUGCAAGAACUCAACCUUGGCCAUAACUCUGGGCUUGACCUUCUUGGUUCAGUGCUUCUAGGUCUGCCAGCCAUGGUGGUGCUGUCCACGAACUCCGAUGCAGCUUAAUUUAAGCUCACUUGCACCAACUCUCUUUAAAAAUGUUUUUUUUUUCAGUCUAUUUUAAUGUAUAGUUCUAUGAAUUUUUAACACAGCAUACAUCCCUGUAACUACCAUCACAAUCAGAAAACCCCCCCAAAACUCCCUCAUGCCUCCCUCCUUCCACCCCUAGCUGUUUACAACCAGCAAUCUGCUCUCCAUCACUUUAAUCUUGGCCUUCUGAGACUGUCAUAUAGCUGGAUUCAUAUAGCAUGUAACCACUGGAGGCUGACUUCUUUUACCAAACAUUAUUCUCCUGAGAUCCAUCUAAGUUGUUGCAUGGACCAAGAGUUCAUUCCUUUUAUUGCUGAGUGUCAUUCCACUGGAUGGAUGUAGCAUGAUUUGUUUAGCCAACCACUAGCUGAAGGACAUUUAGGUUGUUUCCAAUUUUUGGUGAUUAUGAAUGGAACUGCUGUAAAUAUUCAUGUAAAGCUUUUAUGUGAACAAGUUUUCAUUUCUCUGGGAUAAAUAUCUAGAAGUGGGAUUGCUGGGUCAUGUUGUACCAUUUUGCACUCCCCACCCCCACCAGCCCCCCAGCAAUGUUUGCAAGUACCUUCACAUUUUCUCCAGAACUUGUUAUUAUCAGGAGGUUUUUUUGUUUUUUGUUUUUAACUUAGUCACUAUAUAGUUUCAUAGUGGUAUCUCAUUGUGGUGCAUUUUUAAAUGAAAAAUAAUAAAAUAUGUUUGAAAAUAGACUUCAUCA